CGGGGUGAGUAAUGUCUGGGAAACUGCCUGAUGAGGGGGGAUAACUGCUGGAAACGGUAGCUAAUACCGCAUAACGUCGCAAGACCAAAGAGGGGGACCUUCGGGCCUCUUGCCAUCGGAUGUGCCCAGAUGGGAUUAGCUAGUAGGUGGGGUAACGGCUCACCUAGGCGACGAUCCCUAGCUGGUCUGAGAGGAUGACCAGCCACACUGGAACUGAGACACGGUCCAG
rnacentral:rRNA from 1 species